rnacentral:rRNA from 1 species
UACGAAGGGUGCAAGCGUUACUCGGAAUUACUGGGCGUAAAGCGUGCGUAGGUGGUUUGUUAAGUCUGAUGUGAAAGCCCUGGGCUCAACCUGGGAAUUGCAUUGGAUACUGGCAGGCUAGAGUGCGGUAGAGGGUAGUGGAAUUCCCGGUGUAGCAGUGAAAUGCGUAGAGAUCGGGAGGAACACCAGUGGCGAAGGCGGCGAUCUGGGUCGAUACUGACGCUGAGGUGCGAAAGCGUGGGGAGCAAACAGG